UAUUUUCUAUAGUUCUAGAGGCCAGAGCUUGAAAUCAAGGUGUCAGCAAGGCCACGCUCCCUCCGAAGGCUAUAGAGAAGAAGCCUUCCCACCUCUUCCAGCUUCUGAGGGCCCCAGUUAUUUCUGGUGUGUGACAGCACAACGCCAACCUCCGUCUCCACAUGGCCUUCUUUGUGCCUCCGUGUGUCAUUUUCUGUCCCUUAUAAGGAGACUCACUGGAUUUGGGCCCUACCCCAAUCCAGUAUGAUUUCACCUCAAUUCUUAUCAUAAUUACAUCUGCAAAGACUAUUUCCAGAUAAGAUCACAUUCUGAGGUCCUGGUUGGACAUGAAUUUUGAGGAGACCCUGCACAACCAGCACAAGGAUUGAUUAUGUCUCAGGCACCCGGCUAGGUUCUGGAGGAAGAACGUCCUUAAAUAAGGAACUAAAGAAGCCAACAAGCAAACUAGGGUUGUGAUAAGUGCUCUAAAGGCCAUGAGCAGGGGAAUCCAUGGGAAUCAGUGUGGGUGGCAAGGAGGCCUUAGACAGGGUGGUCAGGAAAGUCCAGUCUGCAGAGCAGAGCUGAGCUCCAAAAGCCACGGAGGACCAGCCGCACAAAGGUGAGGAGGAGAGUGCGCACCUGAUGGACGGGAGGGGCAGAGGCCCCGGGGAGCUGAGGGGCUGGGCAAGUUCCCAGGGGAAGAAAUCCAGUGAGACUGGGGCAGGGGGAGAGCAAAGGCAGUGACAUGAACUGAGCUUGUCUAAAGCAACCUUUAAGAAUUUGGAGUAGGAGUGAAGACAUUAGACUACAUGUCUGAAGGUUCCCUCUUGCGGUGGCCUGGAGGAUGGGGGGUGGGGGGGAGGCAGGGAGAUAAAACAGGACAUUACUGCAGGCUUCCUGGAGAAAAGAUGCUGAGAGCCUGGGCAGUUCACGUGUACCCAGGGAUGGGGCCGGGCGGCUGGGAGAGGCACCUGGUGGAAGAAUGGACAGGACUGAGCUGGUGAAUAGACUUGGGGUAAGGGAGGAGGAAGACCCCAAGAGGUCUUCCAGAACAGGGUUUUGAUGACUGGGUAAAAACCAGUGCCAUUUACUGCAAGGGAAAUGCAGGAGAGAAAAUGCCCAGUCAGUCACUUGGGACAGCUCGGAAAACACUGGGCAUGGGGCCAAGUAGGCCACCAGGGAGCUGCCACCCUGCACAGUCCUCCUCCGGGAGCGUGCUGCCCACACCUACCUCAGGUCCAGGCAGGUCGGGACACCACUGCGCCCUGUGUGGAUGGCUGUUCUUUGCCCUCCGUGGGGCCCAGAGCGGGGAGACGGAGGGAGAGCAGCCCAAUCGCUUGCCAACCAUGACCAGGCAGUGCCCGUCGUCUGUUUAGAAUUAUGGACAAGAGACUCCAGGUCCCUCUGAGGUUCUCUAGAGGGAGGGAGGGAGGCCACAGCCAUGUUCCUUCGCGCAGAAUCUUGUUUAUUUCUCCAGACAGCCCUUUCAGGUAGCUGGUGUGAUUCCCAUUUUGAGAGACGAGGAAAUACUUGAAGAAGGUAAACAUCCUGAUCAAGCUCACACAGCCAGUAAGUUGCAGAGCCAAGACCCAAGCUUAAGUUUCCUGAUCUGGGCAACUCUCUUCUCUUUCCAUGGCCCUUUGUCACUGGAGAAGGGCACCGUGGAAAACAGUUGACUGCCCCACAUCAUGGAGAGGAUCUCAGAUGAUGGCUGGCAGAGUCACUUGUCAGGUGAGACUGGGGUUCAAGUCGUGGCUUCACCCUUCACUGGCUGGGUGACAUGGCUUAUUCACUUCAGUUCACAAGCCUUAGAUUCAUCCAGCAUACCUCUUCAUAGGAUUAUUGUGAGGAUUAAAUGAAGUCAUUAGGGCAUGAAAAUCACCUAGCACAGUGCCCAGAAUGGAAUAAGCAUUCAAUUCAUGCUAGCUAUGUAAUAUAAUAUAAGUAUAAUGUAAGAAAUUUUCUGAUUUCCUGAAAAUAUUAAUAUUACCAAGAGUUUUUGAGUGUGUGUGUGUGUGUGUGUGUGUGUGUGUGUGUGUGUGUGUCCUGGGAGAUGUUGCAGGCCAAGAAGGAGAAUAACGUGCUGACAGCUACAUCAGUUAAGAGAGCUAAGACCCCAAGUGGGUGGGAAUAACCUUGCCAUCUGUCCUUCCCUCCCUGCGGGCAGGCCUGGCAAACUCUUGAGAGGUGAGUGUGGGUCCCAACAUGGGGGCUAACUGUGCCCAAACUCCCUUUGGCUACAAUCUCUUCAUGACCCCAGCAGUGGAGAAAAUCCCUGCUCUCAGGAGGUUUAAGAUCCAGAGGGAAGUGGUGAAAUUAGUGGAGAAAAGAGGGCAGCAAUGGCAGGAAGAAGCCCCCAGGACCGUCUAAUCCGCCUUUUCAUCUGAAGGUUUUGAAGGGCAGAGAGAGUCCACUUCUGACGCUGUGUCUUUGGCUUGGAUCUUGCUAGGAGAGAGCUGCAGAGAACAGUUGUUUGAAGGGGAAAGGAGGUUAAUUGUUUUAACUUGAGCAGAGCAAACUUGGAAAGUGAGAAAUCCUCCCUCUUCCAACAGGCCUCUGGUCCAAAACCACACCUGGCCUCGCAUCCUUCUAAUGAUAAUCCCCACCGAGUUCCAGGUGUUGAGCCCAGUGACUGAUGGUGAGCCCUGCCGAGUUCAGAGGGACAAGAUGGAGGCUAUAUAUAAAUCCAACAACGUUUCAGAAGGUAAAAGACGCAUGACCGAUUACGAAAGCUUAUAUUGCUCUGGGAGAGUGCCGGAGCUUUAUUUCUGCCCUGGCUGAUGUGUUGUUCUGUUCCCUCUUGGAAGACAAGGCAGUCUCUAGGCCACAGUUCCCCAUCUGUGAAAUGGGGUGAGAUUAUCCACCCUGUGGGACUCAUCCUGCGUGAGGCACCUUUGAAGGCUCCAGAGCACGACAGCAGGAUGCGCUCUGAAGAGCUGGUGCCAGUAUUCCCAAUGGCAAAGGCAUCAGGGCCAGCUGACGCCUCAGGAGGCGUCUGAGAGACCAGCGGGGGACAGCUGGUGGCGGGCCACACCUGCGAGCCUGGUGAGGGUUGCCAGGAGGACUGCACGAUGGCAGCAGCUGUGGGGCGAGGUCAGCGGGCAGCCCAGGCAGGAGUCGGGCAAGACGGGGCCUCUUGGAAGGUGGUGGCUGGCAUCCGGCUCUCCUCCCAGGCUCUGUUGCCAUCACCGAGCCACACACAUCGACGGGAGGAGGCCAGCACUUGAUGAUGCCAGCAGGGAGGAAACUCGGAAAAGUCGAGAAAGGUGAACGCAGAGCCACUCCACAAGAUCCAGGCUCUAGAACUGAGAUGUGCCCUCUUAGAGCUGACGGUCUGGGGCCAAGCACAGGCUCUCCAGAGGGGCGAGGGCUAAGACAUCACCUUUCCUAAUCCCUUUAUUUUAUACAGGUGGGAACUCAGGCUCGGAGAGUAUUGGUGGCUUGCCCAAAGCCUCACAGCUAAAUAGCAACAGACCAACCAGUCAUUUCCUACGUGUUUCCUCUUUUCAGUAUAACCUAGUCUCCCUAAAUGGUUCAGCGUAUGCCAAACUUUUGGAAUUUUCUUUCUCCCCAAUAAAGGUAACUUCGAGAGGUGCUGUGGCCUGGUGGAUAGAGUGGAACUCUGGUCUUUCGGGUCCUUGCUUGUACUCUGCUCCUAACCAGAAGAUGGUCUUAGAGAUGGCAUUUAGGGCCAUAAUUGAAAACUUGGCUUAACUCAAAGUCUCCCCCAGUGCCUUGGGGGUGGGAGAUGGGAGGUGCACCCACCCUGGAGGAGCCCUGACCCUGAGCAGGGAGGUGGUGUGUUAGUUCUGGCACACAGCCAGGCAUGGUGACGGCUGUGGUUAACAUAGUCCUGAGUGUGCCUUUCAGGUAACUACCCUUCAGCCCAGUCUCUGGACACGCAUUUCAUACGCAAAACAAGGCGACCUUCCAGGGAGCCCAUGGGCUGUAAUCAGUCUUCCUUCAACCUCAAGGCCCCAUUGGCAGCCACUGCCCCAUGAUGGGCAUCGUCAGGAGCUGUGGUGACAAGCCUGGUGGUAGGAGUGGUGGCAGCUCGGCCUAGUAUGACCAGAGCAACCAGGCCGGGGGGCACCUAACCAGCCCACAACAGCAAAGGCCCCUCUUGAAGGGGAGGGUCCCUCAAGUUCACUGAAUUAUCAGUCCACAGCCUCGGAGGGAUCCCGUGUGUUGCUUCUCACCUGUGGUCGGAUGAUCUGGAGUAAGUCACUUUACACCUGAGCUUCAGUUCCCCAAACUGCAAAAUGUGCAAUAACAUCAUAGACUAAUGGGGGUCAUUGUAAGAACUCAAUGAGGUAACAUGACAACAAUACCUAGAAUAGUCCCAGAAUCUCAGGAGUCACUCAACAAGUGAUAUUUCCUUCCAUUUCCCUCUUAGCGUUAAAUAUCAUUGAAACUGUCACCCACGCUCUUUGUCGUCUUCCAUUUGGGCAAAUAAGCACAUCGAACACACAUACACACACACACACACUCUGUCUCUUUCUGUCGAGAAAGAACCCUAGCUUGUCAGUGCUUACAGGCACUGUGGAAAUGCCCAGCACAGAGCUCUCAUCACACAGGUGAGGGGCUGGUGCCCUGAGAGACAGCGUGGCUUGGCCAGGGCUGUGCGGGCACAAGUUGCAUAGCUUAUACUUCCUGCUAAGUCACGUCAUGGUCUCCAACUUAGCUGUGGGAUGUUUUGGGACUGCAAGCUGAUGGCAAGAAGAUGAGCUUUGUCUCUUAGAUACCAGGGCCAGGGAGGUGACACACUGCUGAUGCAUUAACUGGCUGACCCAGAAUGUCUCAUAUAACUUCUUCCUCAAAUAUUUUUGAGAUGGUAACAUGUCAUCCUGGCUUUGUGCUACUCAACAUGGCAGCAGAGGGAUUUGAAAUUAUUCUAUUACAAUCUUCUCUGUAUGACGAUGAGGUUUCCUCAGUUUUGUGCAGUUAGUGGGACAGGGGGCAGUAGUCAAGGUCUUGGAGAAUUUGUCCUUGCUUACACAAGGUAAUUCAUGUAGGACACAGAAAGGUGGUACCAUCACACACAAGCACACGGUCACACAUAUGUGCACACGCAUGUUCUCUCCAGCAUGAUUGCCAGCACAUCUAUCAUCUAGCUGUCACCUCUUUAACUUGGUAAAAGAGAAUACACAAAAGUGAAAUAAGAAGAAAUCAUCUGCUAGUUCAAAGCCCAUUUCAGAAGGGAGCCUAAAUAUAUUUUUUCUCCAUUUCCUAUCUCUUCCCUCUGUUUUUUUCCUCUUUUCGGUCUUUUUUUUUUUUUUUCUGACAACACUGAAGAUCCCCUGAAAGUGGUUAGAUCCCUUCUCAUCUCUGCUAAACGAAUGCUGUCUCUACCUAAACCAGUAAAAAUAAAUCAAGACCAAACAUCACUUAAGGGCA